rnacentral:rRNA from 1 species
GAUGGGGAGGUAGCGGCGACAUACUUUUCGCAUUAGCUGGUAGCUGGUUGUUCUGGAAAUAUAUCUAAGUAUAGCCCUACUUUGGGACAGAUUCUACAGUUAUAGUUUUUCUUGGCUUGCCAAGAUGCUGUCCUCUUUUAGGAGAUGGCCCCUCCAGGCUAAGCUGGGGGGGUGCCUGAAAAGGAUGAUUGGUGAAGUCUUAGGUUUGGAAGUAGGUUUUAAGGAGCCAUCUUUUUGGAGUGGGUUUCACCUCACACUAACCUUCAUUACAAAUAAUAAUGGAUUUAUCUUUUAAUUGUACGGUACCUUCUUACGAAACUACUUCAGUAGGAGUGAUAAUGUAGAGAUGAGUAGUCGAGAUAGUUUGUAAUUAUUUUUUGUUUCAGGGUAAAAAAUAAGAAUAUAAGAAUGCGUAUUGGAAAACAAACCUUAAGGAACUCGGCAAAAUAGAGGACCGCCUGUUUAUCAAAAACAUGGCUUUCUGAAGAACAU